rnacentral:rRNA from 1 species
UACGGAGGGUGCGAGCGUUAAUCGGAAUUACUGGGCGUAAAGCGUGCGUAGGCGGUUUGAUAAGUCGGGUGUGAAAGCCCCGGGCUUAACCUGGGAAUUGCAUUCGAUACUAUCUGACUCGAGUCUGGGAGAGGGAAGCGGAAUUCCGGGUGUAGCGGUGAAAUGCGUAGAGAUGCGGAGGAACACCGAUGGCGAAGGCAGCCCCCUGGGCUAACACUGACGCUCAGGCACGAAAGCGUGGGGAGCAAACAGG